AUUGAACGCUGGCGGCAGGCUUAACACAUGCAAGUCGAGCGGAGAUGAGGUGCUUGCACCUUAUCUUAGCGGCGGACGGGUGAGUAAUGCUUAGGAAUCUGCCUAUUAGUGGGGGACAACAUUCCGAAAGGAAUGCUAAUACCGCAUACGUCCUACGGGAGAAUGCAGGGGAUCUUCGGACCUUGCGCUAAUAGAUGAGCCUAAGUCGGAUUAGCUAGUUGGUGGGGUAAAGGCCUACCAAGGCGACGAUCUGUAGCGGGUCUGAGAGGAUGAUCCGCCACACUGGGACUGAGACACGGCCCAGACUCCUACGGGAGGCAGCAGUGGGGAAUAUUGGACAAUGGGCGGAAGCCUGAUCCAGCCAUGCCGCGUGUGUGAAGAAGGCCUUUUGGUUGUAAAGCACUUUAAGCGAGGAGGAAGCUACCUAGAUUAAUACUCUGGGAUAGUGGACGUUACUCGCAGAAUAAGCACCGGCUAACACUGUGCCAGCCGCCGCCGUAAGAC
rnacentral:rRNA from 1 species